rnacentral:rRNA from 1 species
GCAAGGAAUUUUGCGCAAUGGGCGAAAGCCUGACGCAGCAACGCCGCGUGGGGGAAGAAGGCCUUCGGGUCGUAAACCCCUUUUGUAGGGGAAGUAACUGACGGUACCCUACGAAUAAGCCACGGCUAACUACGUGCCAGCAGCCGCGGUAAUACGUAGGUGGCAAGCGUUGUCCGGAUUUACUGGGCGUAAAGCGCGCGCAGGCGGCUCACCAAGUCUGGGGUGAAAUCUCCCGGCUUAACCGGGAGGGGUCUCUGGAUACUGGUGGGCUUGAGGGGAGCAGAGGAGAGUGGAAUUCCCGGUGUAGCGGUGAUAUGCGUAGAUAUCGGGAGGAACACCAGUGGCGAAGGCGGCUCUCUGGGCUCUCCCUGACGCUGAGGCGCGAAAGCGUGGGGAGCAAACCGG